CUUGACGGAUCCGAGCCACACCGGCUGCUCGGGCGCACGCCCCUGCCCGUAGGUGGCGAGAAUCGCCUCGGCUUC
rnacentral:antisense_RNA from 1 species